ACUCCUACGGGAGGCAGCAGUGGGGAAUAUUGCAUAAUGGGAGAAAGCCUGAUGCAGCGACGCCGCGUGAGGGAUGACGGCCUUCGGGUUGUAAACCUAUUUCACCAGGGAAGAAGCGAAAGUGACGGUACCUGCAGAAGAACCGCAGGUUAACUAAGUGCCAGCAGCCGCGGUAAU
rnacentral:rRNA from 1 species